rnacentral:sRNA from 1 species
UCACUAUGUGUUCUAACCUCACUGGUA